GAAAAACUCGGUGGCGAAUCCCUGGUUAAAAAAAAAAAAAAAAACACCCUAGAUAAGCACGGGUUGGUUCCUCGGCCGAAAGCUCAGUGGCGUCUCUUAUUUAGAGUAUAUCCCCUUUCUACUAACGCGCUAGAGGGACGGAGUCCUCGGAGCGACGCUCUAACUUGGCAAGGGAAGCCCCAAGCAGGCCUCCUAGCUGUGGGCUGAGGACCUAACUGGGGCCCGCCGCCCCCGACCAAGUCCAGCGGGCUCCGAGGGGCCGCCGGGCAGCAAGCGGGGCCUCGAGGCCGCUGCCGAGACCCCAACUCCGGAACGUGAAUAUCGUGGGGCCGAAGAGAUGGCUCAGCAGUUAAGAGCACUGGCUGUUCUUCCAGAAGACCCAGGUUAAAUUCCCAGCACCCACAUGACAGCUCACAACUGUCUGCAACUCCAGUUCAGAGGAUCUGACAUCCUAACACAGACAUAGGUGGAUAGAUAGAUAGAUAGACAGACAGACAGACGGAUGGAUGUAAACACCAUGGUUCAAUCACAUCCACUUCUAAGUUCCUCUUCCCCCACCAGGUUCUUCUUUUUAAAAAUAAAUUUAUUUAUUUACA